rnacentral:rRNA from 1 species
CCUACGGGAGGCAGCAGUGGGGGAUAUUGCACAAUGGGGGAAACCCUGAUGCAGCGACGCCGCGUGGGCGAAGAAGUAUUUCGGUAUGUAAAGCCCUAUCAGCAGGGAAGAAGAAAUGACGGUACCUGAGUAAGAAGCACCGGCUAAAUACGUGCCAACAGCCGCGGUAAUACGUAUGGUGCAAGCGUUAUCCGGAUUUACUGGGUGGAAAGGGAGCGCAGGCGGCACGGCAAGCCUGAUGUGAAAGCCCGCGGCCCAACCGCGGGACUGCAUUGGGAACUACCGGGCUGGAGUGCCGGAGAGGUAGGCGGAAUUCCUAGUGUAGCGGUGAAAUGCGUAGAGAUUAGGAGGAACACCAGUGGCGAAGGCGGCCUACUGGACGGUGACUGACGCUGAGGCUCGAAAGCGUGGGGAGCAAACAGGAUUAGAUACCCCUGUAGUC